GGGAAUCUACCCAGUUCUGCGGAACAACAGUUGGAAACGACUGCUAAUACCGCAUACGCCCUACGGGGGAAAGAUUUAUCGGAAUUGGAUGAGCCCGCGUAAGAUUAGCUAGUUGGUGGGGUAAUGGCCUACCAAGGCGACGAUCUUUAGCUGGUCUGAGAGGAUGAUCAGCCACACUGGGACUGAGACACGGCCCAGACUCCUACGGGAGGCAGCAGUGGGGAAUAUUGGACAAUGGGCGCAAGCCUGAUCCAGCCAUGCCGCGUGAGUGAUGAAGGCCUUAGGGUUGUAAAGCUCUUUCACCGAUGAAGAUAAUGACGGUAGUCGGAGAAGAAGCCCCGGCUAACUUCGUGCCAGCAGCCGCGGUAAUACGAAGGGGGCUAGCGUUGUUCGGAUUUACUGGGCGUAAAGCGCACGUAGGCGGUUUGUUAAGUCAGAGGUGAAAUCCCGGAGCUCAACUCCGGAACUGCCUUUGAUACUGGCAAGCUAGAGUCCGGAAGAGGUAAGUGGAACUCCUAGU
rnacentral:rRNA from 1 species